rnacentral:rRNA from 1 species
GACGCACGCUGGCGGCGUGCUUAACACAUGCAAGUCGAGCGGAAAGGCCCUUCGGGGUACUCGAGCGGCGAACGGGUGAGUAACACGUGAGUGACCUGCCUUUGACUUUGGGAUAACCCUCGGAAACGGGGGCUAAUACCGGAUAGGACCUUCUGCCGCAUGGUGGGGGGUGGAAAGCUUUUGCGGUCAGGGAUGGGCUCGCGGUCUAUCAGCUUGUUGGUGGGGUGAUGGGCUACCAAGGCGACGACGGGUAGCCGGCCUGAGAGGGGGACCGGCCACACUGGGACUGAGACACGGCCCAGACGCCUACGGGAGGCAGCAGUGGGGUAUAUUGCACAAUGGGCGGAAGCCGGAUGCAGCGACGCCGCGUGAGGGAUGACGGCCUUCGGGUUGUAAACCUCUUUCGGUAGGGACGAAGCGUGAGUGACGGUACCUACAGAAGAAGCGCCGGCCAACUACGUGCCAGCAGCCGCGGUAA